UCACACUAUCACCUCCUUCUAAAGCUUUAUUUUCUGAUCUAGAGGAGUCUGAAAGAUCUGAAGAAAGGAGCUUGGACCAGCCAUCCGAGCCUUCGACGUGAACUAGCACUCCCAUGAAGGAAGAUUUGAUUCAAGCUUUGAGUGGACGAUCUGUAGAGGUCAGAUGAUUUGUGUGGCUGCUCAGCAUCAGUGAGAGCUUUGUACCAUGCUUAUCAAUAGUGAAGAUCAUCGAUCAGUA
rnacentral:lncRNA from 1 species